GCAUGCAUAUGGGGAAGCAUUUUCAUCGUGGAUGCAUAUCGUGAAUGGCAUUAGAAAAGGAGGGACUUGCGCGCCCGCCUCCGUCGCCGCCACCGGCCCCUUACCACCGCCCCCACGCGCCGCAGGUUCGUAGGCGCUUUCUCGUAGGGCAGUAAACAUUUGGGGUUGGCUGGUUGUAUGUAUAUGCUUGGUUAACUGAUCGAGGUGGCGUGCGUGCGUGGCUGUUUGCAGGUCUCGGCACCGGGAGGGACGGCUCCGGUGGUGUACGGCGGCGGGAGCAAUGGUGGUGGCCUGCCGUCGCCGUGGCAGGUGAGCGGACGCGGCCUCUGUCGCUGCUCCUCCCUUCUUUCAAUCCCUACCUUUUUUUUGUUUUUUCGUUUUCCCCUUGUUGGCUUGUGAGUUCGAUCUGUGCACCCUUUUUUGACGCUGAUUGCUUCCCGCAGUGCAAGCAGGCGAUGGCCACCGAGGUAACGUUCGUGCUGCCGUCCGCCGCGCCCAAGGCCGCGUCGUCAUCGCCUGGCGGCGCCGCCAGCGACGAGACCGGAGGGUAACUAGGCGCUGCAUGUCUACAUCCCUGCUCUGUUUAUUUCUUUUGG
rnacentral:lncRNA from 1 species